rfam:Stegodyphus mimosarum contig71497, whole genome shotgun sequence.
GCCUUCGUGGUGCAGUGGUCAGCACGCUCGGAGAGUAUUCCAGAGAUCCGUGGUUCGAGUCCCGGCGAGGGCA